rnacentral:rRNA from 1 species
AUUGAACGCUGGCGGCAUGCCUUACACAUGCAAGUCGAACGGCAGCACGGGAGCAAUCCUGGUGGCGAGUGGCGAACGGGUGAGUAAUAUAUCGGAACGUGCCCAGUCGUGGGGGAUAACGUAGCGAAAGCUACGCUAAUACCGCAUACGAUCUAUGGAUGAAAGCGGGGGAUCGCAAGACCUCGCGCGAUUGGAGCGGCCGAUAUCAGAUUAGGUAGUUGGUGAGGUAAAGGCUCACCAAGCCAACGAUCUGUAGCUGGUCUGAGAGGACGACCAGCCACACUGGAACUGGGACACGGUCCAGACUCCUACGGGAGGCAGCAGUGGGGAAUUUUGGACAAUGGACGCAAGUCUGAUCCAGCCAUUCCGCGUGCAGGAUGAAGGCCCUCGGGUUGUAAACUGCUUUGUACGGAACGAAAGGUCUGCCCUAAUACGGCGGGCCCAUGACGGUACCGUAAGAAUAAGGCACCGGCUAACUACGUGCCAG